rnacentral:rRNA from 1 species
GUGAAAAUUGUUGAAAGGGGAAACGGAUUGAAGUCAGUCGUACCGACGAGAAAUCAGCUCUUCGAGUGCGAACUUGUGGGCGUGUGAGAGUCUUUAACCGGGCCUCGCUGUUUGCUAAUUUUGUGUCUUUUUGGGUGUUACUUUUUCGUAUGGUAGGCCAACGUCAGUUUUGAUCACCGUAAAAUGAUCGGAGGAAUGUAGCUUCGAUCUCGUAUUGAAGUGUUAUAGCCUCUGGUAGAUGCGGUGACCGAAACUGAGGAUUGCAACGGAUACCCUUCAGGGCUAUUCGUCUGAUCUCUGAUACGUUGCCUUGAUGUUGAAAGCUUGCUUAUGAUGUUAGGGUAUUACGGUCAAAAGGUUAGAACGAAUUACAUUCGUUAAGGAUGUUGACGUAAUGGCUUUAAACGAC